rnacentral:rRNA from 1 species
AUGUGAUCGUCUCUCGCAUAUCAAUAAGCGGAGGAAAAGAAACUAACAAGGAUUCCCCUAGUAACGGCGAGUGAAGCGGGAAGAGCUCAAAUUUGAAAUCUUAAAGGGUUUCCCUUUACGAAUUGUAGUUUAAAGAAGUGUUUUCUGUUGAGGUUUUGGUAAAAGUUCUUUGGAAUAGGACAUCAUAGAGGGUGAGAAUCCCGUAUUUGACCUUUACUUUCAACUUUGUGAUACACUUUCAAAGAGUCGGAUUGUUUGGGAAUGCAGUCCAAAAUGGGUGGUAAAUUUCAUCUAAAGCUAAAUAUUGGCGAGAGACCGAUAGGCGAACAAGUACCGUGAGGGAAAGAUGAAAAGAACUUUGAAAAGAGAGUUAAACAGUACGUGAAAUUGUCAAAAGGGAAGCGUUUGACACCAGUGUUGUUUUUCUGAAAAUCAAUUAAAGAACUGUUUAUGCUAAGCUGUUUAGACUUUAUCAGCUAUCUGUUUAGUUUUGAGCUUUUCUUUAAUGCACUUUUCAGUUAACAAGUCAACAUCAAUUUCUUUUGCUGUAAAAAAGCUUGAGGAAGGUGGCUUGAGAUUCGUCCUUAAGUGUUUAUAGCCUCUUGCCUAUGCAGUCGGAGAGAUUGAGGUCUGCAGCGUAGAUCCUUCGGGGCUAAAUGCAUUUGUGCUAAGUUAUAGCAUUUCAUAGACAACUUGUUGACUAUGAUUUGUCUUGUAGCUUACUCGCUUAUGUUAUUUUACCUACGCUUAGGAUGUUGAGCGCAUGUCUCUCUCU